rnacentral:rRNA from 1 species
UACGUAGGGUGCAAGCGUUAAUCGGAAUACUGGGCGUAAAGCGUGCGCAGGCGGUUAUGUAAGACGGAUGUGAAAUGCCCGGGCUUAACCUGGGAACUGCAUUUGUGACUGCAUGGCUAGAGUUUGGCAGAGGGGGGUAGAAUUCCACGUGUAGCAGUGAAAUGCGUAGAUAUGUGGAGGAACACCGAUGGCGAAGGCAGCCCCCUGGGUCAAGACUGACGCUCAUGCACGAAAGCGUGGGGAGCAAA